rnacentral:lncRNA from 1 species
GGAAUGGACACGGGCAGUUGCCCUUGUCCAGCUUCCAGGAUCUGUUACACAGGCCUAAAGCAACAACCAGAAGCCUUCCUGGGUGUUUACAUUACAGCACACCAGACUGCAGGCACCGCCACCCCAGACUCUGCCUGCAGCUAAAGUCACCAAGUUUGCCGUGCCCCAUAACUGAGGUCAUUGGCAGCCCAGCACCAAGCCUCACUGGCAUCAAGGGCAGCGGGUUAGUAAGCAUGGCUCCACACGGGUAAGCAGUUCUAGGAAAUGGGAAGAAACCCAGACCAUCCAUCUCAGGGUAAGUUUGCUGGAUUUUCUCUCUCUUUUAAGAGUCUUUCAACAGGGCAUACAGCCCAUUCUCAAAUUUAGAUUUCUGUUUUUGUUAAGAACAGGGACUGUGGAACGAAUUUGCCUGACUUUGCCAUCAUUCUGCCAUUUCCUAGCUAUGUGGCCUCAGGCAAACUGAUUAAACUUACUGGCCUCAGAAUGGGGAAAAUUUCUGUAACUCAUGCCUGGAAUUACGUGAAGAUGAAAAGCAGGCAUGUCCAUGAGAUGCUUACAAGAGGGACCAGCGCCGUGUACCUAUUCUGUGCAUCCUACCCGUCCACUGUUCCUUCUCCGUGUUUCUUGAAGAAGCUGGAGUUUUCUUUCAGUCUUCUGCUUCUCCUGUUGCUUCCUCUAACUGAAGGAAGAAUCAGUCCAUGGCUUCUGCUCCAUGCUUUCUGCUCUUGGUUCAGGCUCCAACUUUCCCAUUAAUGGAAGAGAAUGGCUCUCCUGCUCCCAGCUGUAAUGAACUAAUUAAUUUUUCUAUCUCUCUAAUC